rnacentral:lncRNA from 1 species
GUCUGUCAGCAUUAACGAGUUCUUGAAGCCUGCUGAAGGGGAGAGGUACUAUGGCUCAGGCAGUCGGGGUCGUGGCCGUGGCCGUGGAGCAAGAGGUUUUGGCAAUAGAGAUGGAAUGAGCAGCGGUUUUGGCAAUAGAGACGGAAUGAGCAGCGUGCCAGCCCCUUCCAUUGAAGAUCCCGGACAAUUCCCAACCCUGGGUGGCAAAUGAGAUGUUCCAGAACCCCUGCUUAGAAUCUCUGCGUCUAUCCAUUUUUGGGUUCUUUUCUUCAAUCACGCACAGGAAAAUGACUGG